AUUGAACGCUGGCGGCAGGCCUAACACAUGCAAGUCGAGCGGAUGAAGGGAGCUUGCUCCUGGAUUCAGCGGCGGACGGGUGAGUAACGCCUAGGAAUCUGCCUGGUAGUGGGGGAUAACGUCCGGAAACGGGCGCUAAUACCGCAUACGUCCUGAGGGAGAAAGUGGGGGAUCUUCGGACCUCACGCUAUCAGAUGAGCCUAGGUCGGAUUAGCUAGUUGGUGGGGUAAAGGCCUACCAAGGCGACGAUCCGUAACUGGUCUGAGAGGAUGAUCAGUCACACUGGAACUGAGACACGGUCCAGACUCCUACGGGAGGCAGCAGUGGGGAAUAUUGGACAAUGGGCGAAAGCCUGAUCCAGCCAUGCCGCGUGUGUGAAGAAGGUCUUCGGAUUGUAAAGCACUUUAAGUUGGGAGGAAGGGCAGUAAGUUAAUACCUUGCUGUUUUGACGUUACCAACAGAAUAAGCACCGGCUAACUUCGCG
rnacentral:rRNA from 1 species